UGCCUCAGUAGCGGCGAGUGAAGCGGCAAAAGCUCAAAUUUGAAAUCUGGCGUCUUUGGCGUCCGAGUUGUAAUUUGAAGAAGGUAUCUUUGGGCCCGGCUCUUGUCUAUGUUCCUUGGAACAGGACGUCACAGAGGGUGAGAAUCCCGUGCGAUGAGAUGACCCGGGUCUGUGUAAAGUUCCUUCGACGAGUCGAGUUGUUUGGGAAUGCAGCUCUAAGUGGGUGGUAAAUUCCAUCUAAAGCUAAAUAUUGGCGAGAGACCGAUAGCGAACAAGUACAGUGAUGGAAAGAUGAAAAGAACUUUGAAAAGAGAGUGAAAAAGUACGUGAAAUUGUUGAAAGGGAAGGGCUUGAGAUCAGACUUGGUAUUUUGCAUGUUGCUCUCUCGGGGGCGGCCGCUGCGGUUUACCGGGCCAGCAUCGGUUUGGAGCGGCAGGAUAAUGGCGGAGGAAUGUGGCACGGCUUCUGCUGUGUGUUAUAGCCUCUGACGAUACUGCCAGCCUAGACCGAGGACUGCGGUUUUUUACCUAGGAUGUUGGCAUAAUGAUCUUAAGUCGCCCGUCUUGAAACACGGACCAAGGAGUCUAACGUCUAUGCGAGUGUUUGGGUGUAAAACCCGUACGCGUAAUGAAAGUGAACGAAGGUGGGGGCCUAUUAGGGUGCACCAUCGACCGAUCCUGAUGUGUUCGGAUGGAUUUGAGUAAGAGCAUAGCUGUUGGGACCCGAAAGAUGGUGAACUAUGCCUGAAUAGGGUGAAGCCAGAGGAAACUCUGGUGGAGGCUCGUAGCGGUUCUGACGUGCAAAUCGAUCGUCGAAUUUGGGUAUAGGG
rnacentral:rRNA from 1 species